UAGUCCACGCCGUAAACGAUGUCAACUAGCUGUUGGGAUUUAUCUUAGUAGCGAAGCUAACGCGAUAAGUUGACCGCCUGGGGAGUACGCGCGCAAGCGUAAAACUCAAAGGAAUUGACGGGGGCCCGCACAAGCGGUGGAUUAUGUGGUUUAAUUCGAAGCAACGCGCAAAACCUUACCUGGGCUUGAACUCCUGAGAACGGAAAGUAAUUUUUCCGGUGCCCUUCGGGGAAUUCAGUGAGAGGUGCUGCAUGGUUGUCGUCAGCUCGUGCCGUGAGGUGUUGGGUUAAGUCCCGCAACGAGCGCAACCCUUAUCCUUAGUUGCCAGCACGUAAUGGUGGGGACUCUAGGGAGACUGCCGGCGUAAGCCGCGAGGAAGGUGGGGAUGACGUCAAAUCAUCAUGGCCUUUAUGCCUAGGGCGACACACGUGCUACAAUGGUAGGUACAGAUGGUAGCGAAGCCGCGAGGUGUAGCCAAUCUGAGAAAGCCUAUCCCAGUUCGGAUUGGAGUCUGCAA
rnacentral:rRNA from 1 species